rfam:Schistosoma mansoni strain Puerto Rico chromosome 1, complete genome
AUUCACUAGCUAAGUGGAUAAGGCGAUGGCAUUUGAAGCGAAAGGUACUGGGUUCAAGUCCCAGAGUGAACA